AAAACAAUACUGUAUUAUUUCAACUAUUCCUUUAGCCCCUCUAAGGCUGGACUCACUAGGCAUCUUUUCUUUAUAAAAGAGGAAGGGAGAAGUGGCUCACAGAUCAUUGCUUGGCUUAUAUAACUUUAGAUAUCUGAUUGCCUGCGAGCUAAGACCAAGGCAAUGAAGUUCUUGGUUCAAUGCCCAUGUUGCUCAUGCUUCUGCUUCAUGAAGACCAAGAAGAACAAGCCCAAGGGAAAGGAAGCCAAAGGUGAUUGAAAGCAUCAACAUAAUACAUUCAUUUUUGCUUUAAUAACGCGACAAGCUUUCCUAGAUUAUUUGAAGUUUCCCUGGAUUGAAUGCUUCAAAUGUACUUCAUCAAGUGAAUGUAAAAUGAUCUGAGAUCUUCUCUCGGAUGUAAUGUAUGGCUUGUUAGUUAUUUGUUUCUUAGCCCCUUGAUAAAUUGUCCAUCUUCGCCUCUUAUUGUUUGAUCAAUAACCAGACUGAGCUGCAAAAGAAAAUUUCAGGAGGAAUUGAGGUCAAAAAUCUCAGAAGAGGUAAUCUUUUUGCAAUUCUAUACAAUGGUUGGAUGCUGUUUACAGUUCUGGUUUUGCUUAGUUAGCUCGCAGUCUGAAAUGGUUUCUAAAAGCCAAAAGCAUGAUCUAUGGGAUAUUACAAUGAAGAAGGGAGAACAUAGCUAUUUUCAGCUAAAUUCUUUUUGCCAAAUACAUAGAGCUGCAUCUCUGAUAUUAGAUUAGACAGUUCAUAUACCAAGAUUUUUAGCGUGAAAAUUCUGUGUAAUUUGCGCGAUUUCGUCUUUCCCAAAAGCUUAGAAGACUUUGAGUUUUGUUUUGGGCACGACAUGUCAUGAAUACCAUUGCCCCGUGUUUUCAGUUUGUUAUGAUCACUAGUAUGAGAUGAAAUGAGAAUAAGAUCAUAAAAAUCUAAAAACUUUGCGCCAAUUUCUCCAGUUUCAACACAAGGACAGCAAAUUAUGCAAACAACUCCUAUUCCAGCCAAAUUUUCUUUUUCCAAGAGCCAGUGAAGAUAAGAUGAAAAGGCAAGCAAGGAAUAGAGCAGAUGCAAGAUCAUCAAAUACAAUGAUUGGAAUAAAUUCCUUUCACUAAUCUAACAACAACAACAGGAAAGAAAGGAAAAAAAACUCUUUUCACAGAUUGGCAAAAUGCUAUGUACACAAGGAGAACUUCAUGCAAGCCUGAAUUCACAACUGCAAACUAUUAGCAUAUUUUAGAACAUGCAGCACCAGAUAAUGAUGCCAAAGAAUGUCGUUCAAGUACAAUUAUAGCAUUUAAUUACUUUCAAGCAAUUUAACAGAACCUUUUUUCUUUUGUAAGGGAAAAAAGAUUGGACAGUGUCCAAUCUGCCUCUAAUCCUUUUUUUCCAUUACUGAAACUCCCAGAACCUUGAUUUACCUCUAUGGUUGACUGGAAGCUACAACUACCAUGUUUACUAUGUUCUUAUUUGAUUGGGAUCUUACAGUGGUUUUUGAAGUGGAAGGAGAAGCUUUGGCAUUCUUUGUCUUUAGAGACACAGGGAAUGUCUCAUCCACCCACACCAGACAAUAAAAUGACAACUACCUUUCCUCCAGCAGAAAGCAAGAAGGAAGAUAGGGGACAGAGCAAAAGCAUGGCAGGCCUUAAAAUCAACAACUUCAGGGAUAAGGAAUAUAAGCACAAGCACCCUAUCCCACAUACUGUGAGUUGUGAACACUGAAAAAUAUUUAAAAGGAAAAUAAACAAGAAAUUAUCUAUGCAUGCGGAUGCGCAUGGAACCCCAAUUUUUCAUGGAUUAGCAUAUUUGGUCGCAUGUCACAGGACCACCUGCAAGUCAGAUUACUAAAAUUGUCUCCUAUAUGGAGUUUAUUUUUUUGCUGUAACUAGAGAAUCACAUGUAACUCCACCUUCAAAGAGUAAACUAGAUGCUGCAACCUAAGACUCGAGCCGAAAAGCUGGUGGUUGAGUUUCGCUUGGGGCAACCUGUAGCAUUCUUUAGAGAUUGCUUCAGGUAAAGUUCAAUGUAGUUCCAAUAUCCCAUUUGUCUCCAGUUACAAAGCAUCUUUAGUCACGACCGCCGAACAAGCCUGAAGAAGUACAGUUCAGAAAUAUAAGUUUCAUUUCAAUUGUCAGUUGUGUUCUCAUAUGAUAUGACUAAAACAUCUUCAAAGAUCUUCAUGAAGAAAGGAUUGUCUCGUUGAUAGUUUCCACAAGGGCCUCAAAUAUAAUUUCCUUAGUACAGACUAAUAAUCUAAAUCAGAAGGCAUUGCACUGAUC
rnacentral:lncRNA from 1 species